UACGUAGGGUGCAAGCGUUAUCCGGAAUUAUUGGGCGUAAAGAGCUCGUAGGCGGUUUGUCGCGUCUGCUGUGAAAACCCGAGGCUCAACCUCGGGCCUGCAGUGGGUACGGGCAGACUAGAGUGCGGUAGGGGAGACUGGAAUUCCUGGUGUAGCGGUGAAAUGCGCAGAUAUCAGGAGGAACACCGAUGGCGAAGGCAGGUCUCUGGGCCACUACUGACGCUGAGAAGCGAAAGCAUGGGGAGCGAACAGG
rnacentral:rRNA from 1 species